rnacentral:lncRNA from 1 species
CGCUCACAGACAACACAACUGUGGCCUAAGUCAUCAAAAGCAUCGCAGUUUCUCCGGACCGAGAAAGGUGGCCCCUGUGGAAGGAUCUUUUGGGAUGUUCACCCACAGGUGGAGAACCACGGCUUUAGAGAAUCUUCAUACAGCUUUCCUACAGAAACAACGCUGGAUUUUCUUAGAAGCUUUGUAUUCAUUUUCCCCCCUUUUUUGAGAUAGGGUUUCAUUCUGUAGCCCAAGCUAUCCUCAGCCUCGAACUGAUCCUCCUGCCUUGGGCUAUUUAGUGCUAGCAUUACAGGCCUGAUCCACCAAGGUUGGCUCCUCAGAAAUCCUUUGCCGAAGCUCCCGAGAUGAUGACACGAUGCUGCCCCAUGCUUUGGUGUGAUUAGUAAAUGUAAAAAAUGUUAACACAAAGUCAUGGUUUAGGAAAAAAUGUAAUUCGAACAGGCUUUGUGGCUGCAGUUUGGUUCGCUGAGCAGUCUGGCUCUGUAAUAAUUUUGGAUUUUAUUGGUGAAGUUAAGUCUAUAUUUGUGAUUCUUAGGUUUUGAAGUCAGAGAGAGUGAUUCACUGGUAGAACGCUCUGUGGGGGUCUCAGGGUUUGAUCUGCACCACAAAAAAUAAAACUUAAGAAAAGAAAAUGGG